UACGUAGGGGGCAAGCGUUGUCCGGAUUUAUUGGGCGUAAAGAGCUCGUAGGCGGCUUGUUGCGUCGACCGCGAAAACCCGCGGCUUAACUGUGGGCUUGCGGUCGAUACGGGCGGGCUGGAGUUCGGUAGGGGAGACUGGAAUUCCUGGUGUAGCGGUGAAAUGCGCAGAUAUCAGGAGGAACACCGGUGGCGAAGGCGGGUCUCUGGGCCGAUACUGACGCUGAGGAGCGAAAGCGUGGGGAGCGAACAGG
rnacentral:rRNA from 1 species